rnacentral:rRNA from 1 species
UACGUAGGGUGCGAGCGUUAAUCGGAAUUACUGGGCGUAAAGCGUGCGCAGGCGGCUUUGCAAGACAGAUGUGAAAUCCCCGGGCUCAACCUGGGAACUGCAUUUGUGACUGCAAGGCUAGAGUACGGCAGAGGGGGAUGGAAUUCCGCGUGUAGCAGUGAAAUGCGUAGAUAUGCGGAGGAACACCAAUGGCGAAAGCAAUCCCCUGGGCCUGUACUGACGCUCAUGCACGAAAGCGUGGGGAGCAAACAGG